UUAAGUUCAGCGGGUAUCCCUACCUGAUCCGAGGUCAAACUGUGGGUAACUUGAUGGACGCCGGUCCGCCGGGACCCGCAGGCGCAAUGGUGCUACGCUACGGGCUGGCAAACCGCUGCCAAUGCCUUUGGGGCGAGUCCGCGCACGAGGCGGGACAGACGCCCAACACCAAGCAGAGCUUGAGGGUGUAAAUGACGCUC
rnacentral:misc_RNA from 1 species